CAGACAGGAAGCCAAAGGAACACAAACAGACCCACAGUGGCGAUUAGAGAUACGACAAGAAAGUGGAGGCACAGACAGAGCAGAGUUGUGCUAUGCGUGGAUGCCGUCAGUGAGCUCAGAAAUGCCGUGCAUGUGACGGAAAUACGCACAAAGAGAACAAGAAGUAAAGCUUCACUUGGCAGUGACUUGACUGCGCGCAGCACAAAAGACAGCCACAAUGCUGCAGCGAAGUUACAGUGCUAACGAUCGCAGCACCCCUCUCUUCAAACAGUUUGUCGUCAUGCAGAAUGUGAGAUUGCAAAUCCGCUGCAGCAAAGGUGUGUGAACCAGAGGAGAGGUAUUAGGCCCGAGAUUACGAAAUUUUAGAUAGAAACAAAAUCCUACUUAACAUGGGAGAAACAUCAUCACCUUUCUGCCCCUCCCCCUCGCCUCCCGUUCUGCUUAAAGGGUACUUGCGCAUUAUUUAAUUGGAUAGAGUGGUACUCUUGGAGACUGGAUGAGGAAAAGAGCUUAAAGUGCUGUUUUCCAUUUGCAGCAAACAGCAAAAAAAGAAGAAGAAGAAGAAAAAAACGGCAGGAUUAAUGCAGUUGCAAACCUUUUUAAUAGCCAAAAGAUUUUUACUGCUGGUGUAUUUAAUUAGUGAAUGUAAAAUAUGGGAGCCGUGGUAUUAAAAGUGGACUGAUGUGUAGCCUGGGUUUCUUGCUGACAUCACUGUUAUAUCAAAAUGGCUUUGCUCCUCUCUCAGCCUAUGGCUAUAAACUUGAAUUUGAUAGAGCAAAGUUGUAAACGUGUGUGUGUGUGUGUGUGUGUGUGUGUGCGUGUUUCCACAACAUCAGUCUCUGUAAAUCAAGCUGUGAAAGCAGCAGCAGCUAGUGCUGACUUUCAUUUUCAGGGGCACAACUCAUGAUUCAAUGAAUACAGCAGGGGAGGGAGAAACACAGACAUGUCUAAAGAAAAAAUGUUCUUUGUAUUUUCAGGCCUGGGACACAACACACUGGUCUAUUUCUCCUCAUAUGGCUCUGCAGGAGCAUCACUAUGUUCAACAUAGUUUCUAUGCAUUCACAACUGAUUCCAAAGCAGGAAACUGUCUUGAUGCUUGAGAGGAGAUAAGUGGAAAAAAUAUAUGGAAAAAUGGGUAAGCAAGUACAUGCAUACAAAAAUAUGAAGUAAACAACAAAAAGUAACCUGACAUAAAACAAUAGCUGCUGCUGUGAGAUAUUGCCAUUGAGGGCGGGAGGGGCGUCGGACUGAUAAGAGCAACAAAUAUUAGUUUGUAGGAAUAAAAUAAACAGAGAAGUCCAAAUGAGCAAACACCAACUACACUGUGUCUGUUGCCACAGCAUGUAGGACGGGCGCAUCUGACAUUUCUUGUAAACCAGACAAAA